GGCGGUUUGUCGCGUCUGCUGUGAAAUCCCGAGGCUCAACCUCGGGCCUGCAGUGGGUACGGGCAGACUAGAGUGCGGUAGGGGAGAUUGGAAUUCCUGGUGUAGCGGUGGAAUGCGCAGAUAUCAGGAGGAACACCGAUGGCGAAGGCAGAUCUCUGGGCCGUAACUGACGCUGAGGAGCGAAAGGGUGGGGAGCAAACAGGCUUAGAUACCCUGGUAGUCCACCCCGUAAACGUUGGGAACUAGUUGUGGGGUCCAUUCCACGGAUUCCGUGACGCAGCUAACGCAUUAAGUUCCCCGCCUGGGGAGUACGGCCGCAAGGCUAAAACUCAAAGGAAUUGACGGGGACCCGCACAAGCGGCGGAGCAUGCGGAUUAAUUCGAUGCAACGCGAAGAACCUUACCAAGGCUUGACAUAUACGAGAACGGGCCAGAAAUGGUCAACUCUUUGGACACUCGUAAACAGGUGGUGCAUGGUUGUCGUCAGCUCGUGUCGUGAGAUGUUGGGUUAAGUCCCGCAACGAGCGCAACCCUCGUUCUAUGUUGCCAGCACGUAAUGGUGGGAACUCAUGGGAUACUGCCGGGGUCAACUCGGAGGAAGGUGGGGAUGACGUCAAAUCAUCAUGCCCCUUAUGUCUUGGGCUUCACGCAUGCUACAAUGGCCGGUACAAAGGGCUGCAAUACCGUGAGGUGGAGCGAAUCCCAAAAAGCCGGUCCCAGUUCGGAUUGAGGUCUGCAACUCGACCUCAUGAAGUCGGAGUCGCUA
rnacentral:rRNA from 1 species